CUCUCAUGUGUUUUCAGAUGUCCUGACUGAUUGAAUCUCUGAUCGCAGUGUGAACACUUGUAAGGUUUCUCUCCAGUGUGGAUCCUCUCAUGUGUUUUCAGGUCUCCUGACCGACUGAAUCUCUUGUUGCAGUGUGAACACUUGUAAGGUUUCUCUCCAGUGUGGAUCCUCUCGUGUGUUUUCAGGGCUCCUGACCGAUUGAAUCUCUUGUCGCAGUGUGAACAUUUGUAAGGUUUCUCUCCAGUGUGGAUCCUCUCAUGUGUUUUCAGAUGUCCUGACCAACUGAAUCUCUUGUCGCAGUGUGAACACUUGUAAGGUUUCUCUCCAGUGUGGAUCCUCUCGUGUGUUUUCAGGGCUCCUGACCAAUUGAAUCUCUUGUCGCAGUGUGAACAUUUGUAAGGUUUCUCUCCAGUGUGAAUUCUCUGGUGCACUUUCAACUCUACAGUUGUUUUAAAA